rnacentral:rRNA from 1 species
GUGGGGAAUAUUGGACAAUGGGCGCAAGCCUGAUCCAGCAAUUCCGCGUGAGCGAAGAAGGCCUUCGGGCUGUAAAGCUCUUUCGGCGGGGACGAUAAUGACGGUACCCGCAGAAGAAGCCCCGGCUAACUCCGUGCCAGCAGCCGCGGUAAUACGGAGGGGGCUAGCGUUGUUCGGAAUCACUGGGCGUAAAGCGCACGUAGGCGGCUACUCCAGUCAGAGGUGAAAGCCCGGGGCUCAACUCCGGAAUUGCCUUUGAAACUAGGUAGCUUGAACGUCGGAGAGGUAAGUGGAAUUCCGAGUGUAGAGGUGAAAUUCGUAGAUAUUCGGAAGAACACCAGUGGCGAAGGCGACUUACUGGACGACUGUUGACGCUGAGGUGCGAAAGCGUGGGGAGCAAACAGGAUUAGAAACCCUGGUAGUCC